rnacentral:pre_miRNA from 1 species
GUACUACUUCCUCCGUUCUGAAUUAUUUGUCUAGAUACGGAUGUAUCUAGACUCAUUUUAGUGCUAGAUACAUCCGUAUCUAGACAAAUCGAAGACAAGUAAUUUGGAACGAAGGGAGCACUAG